UACGGGGGGGGUAAGCGUUGUUCGGAAUUACUGGGCGUAAAGGGCUCGUAGGCGGCCAACUAAGUCAUACGUGAAAUCCCUCAGCUUAACUGGGGAACUGCGUGUGAUACUGGAUGGCUUGGAUUUGGGAGAGGGAUGCGGAAUUCCAGGUGUAGCGGUGAAAUGCGUAGAUAUCUGGAGGAACACCGGUGGCGAAGGCGGCAUCCUGGACCAAUAUUGACGCUGAGGAGCGAAAGCUAGGGGAGCAAACGGG
rnacentral:rRNA from 1 species